rnacentral:rRNA from 1 species
AACGGGUGAGUAACACGUGAGCAACCUGCCCCACAGAUCGGGAUAGCCCAGGGAAACCUGGAUUAAUACCGAAUAUCCUCGAGUAACCACAUGAUUGUUCGAGGAAAUGCCUUUGUGCUGUGGGAUGGGCUCGCGGCUUAUCAGCUAGUUGGUGGGGUAACGGCCUACCAAGGCAUCGACGAGUAGCUGGUCUGAGAGGACGAUCAGCCACACUGGGACUGAGACACGGCCCAGACUCCUACGGGAGGCAGCAGCAGGGAAUCUUGCGCAAUGGGCGAAAGCCUGACGCAGCAACGCCGCGUGGGUGAUGAAGGCCUUCGGGUUGUAAACCCCUUUCAGGAGGGAAGAAAUUGACGGUACCUCCAAAAGAAGCCCCGGCCAACUACGUGCCAGCAGCCGCGGUAAUACGUAGGGGGCGAGCGUUGUCCGGAAUCAUUGGGCGUAAAGAGCUCGUAGGCGGUUCAGCAAGUCGGCUGUGAAAUUCCGAGGCUCAACCUCGGAACUGCAGUCGAUACUGCUGUGACUCGAGUCCGGUAG